AUCACUUCUUGGCCUUUUGGCUAAGAUCAAGUGUAAAGGGUGGUAUUAUCCCAAGGUUAAGGCCCUGUCAGGGGACUCCAAACUAACUGCAACCUCAUCCAAUAAUAAAGGUUUACUGUUUAUUUUAUCUUUGGGAAAUACAUGUCCAGUUCUGAAAAUUGUCCAAAUAGUAAUGAGCUUUUCACUGAAACAGGGAUUUCGGUUGCUUACUGAAC
ensembl:snRNA U2 U2 spliceosomal RNA